rnacentral:rRNA from 1 species
UGGGGAAUUUUGCACAAUGGGGGAAACCCUGAUGCAGCGACGCCGCGUGAUUUAGAAGGCCUUCGGGUUGUAAAAAUCUUUUUUACGGGAUGAAAAUGACAGUACCGUAAGAAUAAGGUCCGGCUAAAUACGUGCCAGCAGCCGCGGUAAUACGUAUGGACCGAGCGUUGUCCGGAAUCAUUGGGCGUAAAGCGCGCGUAGGCGGUUUUUUAAGUCUGAUGUGAAAGCCCACGGCUCAACCGUGGAGGGUCAUUGGAAACUGGAAAACUUGAGUGCAGAAGAGGAAAGUGGAAUUCCAUGUGUAGCGGUGAAAUGCGCAGAGAUAUGGAGGAACACCAGUGGCGAAGGCGACUUUCUGGUCUGUAACUGACGCUGAUGUGCGAAAGCGUGGGGAUCAAACAGG